rnacentral:rRNA from 1 species
GGGGAAUUUUGGACAAUGGGCGCAAGCCUGAUCCAGCCAUGCCGCGUGCGGGAAGAAGGCCUUCGGGUUGUAAACCGCUUUUGUCAGGGAAGAAAAGUUUUGAGCUAAUACCUCAGAAUGAUGACGGUACCUGAAGAAUAAGCACCGGCUAACUACGUGCCAGCAGCCGCGGUAAUACGUAGGGUGCAAGCGUUAAUCGGAAUUACUGGGCGUAAAGCGUGCGCAGGCGGUUGUGCAAGACAGGUGUGAAAUCCCCGGGCUUAACCUGGGAACUGCACUUGUGACUGCACGGCUUGAGUGCGGCAGAGGGGGAUGGAAUUCCGCGUGUAGCAGUGAAAUGCGUAGAUAUGCGGAGGAACACCGAUGGCGAAGGCAAUCCCCUGGGCCUGCACUGACGCUCAUGCACGAAAGCGUGGGGAGCAAAC